CUUAAAUUGAAGAGUUUGAUCAUGGCUCAGAUUGAACGCUGGCGGCAGGCCUAACACAUGCAAGUCGAGCGGAAACGAGUUAUCAGAACCUUCGGGGGACGAUAACGGCGUCGAGCGGCGGACGGGUGAGUAAUGCCUAGGAAAUUGCCCUGU
rnacentral:rRNA from 1 species